rnacentral:rRNA from 1 species
UACAGAGGGUGCGAGCGUUAAUCGGAAUUACUGGGCGUAAAGCGCGCGUAGGCGGCUUUGCAAGUCGAGUGUGAAAUCCCCAGGCUUAACCUGGGAACUGCAUUCGAGACUGCAUGGCUAGAGUAUGGGAGAGGGAAGUGGAAUUUCAGGUGUAGCGGUGAAAUGCGUAGAUAUCUGAAGGAACAUCAGUGGCGAAAGCGACUUCCUGGACCAAUUCUGACGCUCAUGUGCGAAAGCGUGGGGAGCAAACAGG